AGUAAAUCCAUUUAAUUAGAUCAUUUUGAAUAAAUACUUUGGUAUUUAUUACAAGUAUAAUUUUUAAGAAAAUCUCGAAUUAUAACAGAAAAUUGUUUACAAGCAGAAAAAGUCUCAUUCAUUAAAAAUUCAAUCAUUUCAGGCUUAAGUUUUGUAUUUAAAUCAAUUGUAACAGGAGAUAUAUCACUAUUACCAUUACCAACAUUUUCAGUAUCUGUAUCAAUAUCAUUAUCAGUACUAUGAAUUGCCAUUAAUAAUGUACCUUUAAGACUUUCCAUUUCAGAUUGUGUUAAGUCAUAAAGUACUUGUUUCCCAUAUAAUCCACAUGUAGCAGAAACUAUUAAAUCUUUCAUAGAAAUACCAGAAAUAGCUAAUGCUAUUGAUGUAGCAUUAAUAGCAGCAGAUCUUACACUACCAUCUCCUUCUAAUAUUAUAAUAUUAAUAAUUAUUUGAGAUUUUGAAUAUUGAUCACAAAUAACUGAAGAAAAAGUUCUUGAAAUAAUUAAUCCACUUUCAAUACAAAAUCGAUCAUUCUUUCCUCUUUUUCUUCUAUCUUGACUACUGAAUGGUGAUACUCUAAAAUUACAAUUUAUUUGAACUCCUGAAUUAUUAUUUGUAUAAUUUAUAUUACCUGAAAUAGGUACCGGACCUACAAUUGAUACAAUUAAUUUAUUUUGACCUUGUUCAAAAUAAACAUUUCCAUCUUCAAUUCCUCUUUGAUUUCCUUCAUUUAUUAUACAUUUAAUUCGUCUAAUUUCUGUUAAUUUUCUU
rnacentral:antisense_RNA from 1 species